rnacentral:rRNA from 1 species
GCAAGUCGAACGAGUAGACAAGAGCUUGCUCUUGGCUAUUAGUGGCAGACGGGUGAGUAACGCGUGGGCAAUCUACCUUUGAGUGGGGAAUACCUACCCGAAAGGGUGGUUAAUACCGCAUAAAACCUGAACCUCUCCGGAGGAUCAGGUCAAAGCUGGGGAUUUGCGAAAGCAGACCUGGCGCUUGGAGAGGAGCUCGCGUCGGAUUAGUUAGUUGGUGGGGUAACGGCCUACCAAGACAUCGAUCCCUAGCUGGUCUGAGAGGAUGAUC